rnacentral:lncRNA from 1 species
GCCGGGAGGAUCUCCGCGCGGCUACCUCCUCUUCCGCCGCCUUCCUCCCACGCCUUCACCUCCCUCCCCCGCCGCGCUCUGCGGCGAAAAGGAGCGGGCUCCCAGGCCACCUCCCCUCUCUCCACCCAGGGGCCGCGCGUCAGUGGACCUGCAGCCCAGGCAACGGGGCUGCGGACGGCGCGCGUGCCCUGCCUCGCCUCACGCCGGUAGCUGAUGCUCCCGCGGCAGCUGCCACCCCAGCGCCCCAGCCACGGCUUCAGAGGCUCUCGCACGCUGGCUUUUUUUUUUUCCCCCCGCUUUGGUGAACUCGCAGUACUUGGGCUGAGCCCGAAAUCUCGCGAGAUGCUGCAGGCGUCAGUGCGGCUUCCCACUAGGCGCGUGGUACCCGAGGCCGGGCCGGAGCCGCAGGCCAGCCGCGAUUCCUUCGGGCGAUGCUGGGGGCUUUCCGGUCGGGGCCGCAGCCGCUUCCGGAGCCGCGGGCGAGGUGCGUUCCCCAGCCUGGUUUGCUCUGGGCUCUGACCCGCCGCCGCGAAUCUCCGCUCGUAACUCCGGGCCUGAACCUGGAGGAGGGAGGAUUUCCUCUGUGCAGCUUUCGAGCGGUAGACUCACCCUGCCAGGCAGACCUAGAUUGGCAUAACCAGAGAUCAGUUCCAGUUGUGAUGCAGUGGGUGUCUACACACUUCUGAUGACACCUUUAUUUUAAAAGCUGAUGUUCCAAGUAGAGUCGGGGUUUCACCGUGUUAGCCAGGAUGGUCUCGAUCUCCUGACCUCGUGAUCCGCCCACCUCCGCCUCUCCAAGUGCUGGGAUUACAGGCAUGAGCCACCGCGCCCGGCCCUUGUAUUUUUAAACUUUGACUUUAUGGAGACGAACACCAUCGUUUGCUGAACACUUGAAACAUGAUGAAAGAGCCACAGAGUUGGCAGAACUGUUUGAAAAUGCUAUUUUUAGGGCAGUUUUUAGUGUCAUUAUGUUGCUGCUACAUAUUUGGAAGAUGGAACAAGCCCAGACAAAGGAGGAUUCUUUUUUACUCAUCUUAAAUCCAUUUUAUUUUCCUUCAUCUGAGCCCCUUAAAACUAAUGUGUUACUGGUGCAAGCGGUCUUCUCUGUCUUCUUUAUGGCCAGUAAAAUUCUCCAGAAGAGAUUUAUGGCAGCCUCACUCCCAGUAGUUUCUGCAUUUAGUGAGAUAAGGAAUGGAUUUUCUUCUGUGUAUUGCUGACACGAACAGGAGACGGAAAUACUGAGUAGAAGAGGGCGGUUCCCUGGCUAAGGCCCCACCCUCAAGCCUGGAUACCCGCGGCCCUAAAUGAGAAGAGGCGUUUCUGUUUGGGGCCCAAAAAGUUGCUUUUUGACCCACCACGCCCCCUAUCCUGCCCCCAUAUAAACCCCAAACCCCAACCUCCAGAGCAUACCAGCAGGUGAGGAGAUACGAGGCAAGCCGACUGACGGCAAAACGACGUAGCAGAGAAAGAGAGAAGAGGAGGGACGUCUGGACACCGAGAGAUGUUUGGCUCGGGGCAGUCAGAGCGGAGUCCAGCCCCUGGGCGGCCCAACUCCAGGGGAAGAUCACCUUCCCACUUCAUCCAUCCCCACCCUUCCAGCUCCCCAUCCAUCCUGCUGAAAGCCAUUUCCACCACUCAAUAAAACCUCGCAUUCAUCCUUCAAGUCCGUGUGUGACCCGAUUUUUCCUGGAUUCUGGAAAAGAGCUCGGAAUACAGAAAGCUGUCCCCUGGUCCUUUGCCCUUGUGAAAAAGCAGAAGGUCCAUUGAGCUGGUUAACACUCCAGCUGUCUGUGGUGGCCAAGCUGAAAGAGCUUUGUAACACUGGGGUUGCAGGCACCCACCUCUAGACGCUACCGCAGAGCCAGAGCCCAAAGCCCUCACCCCGGCCUCUGCACUUGCCCAUCUGCGUGCUCCCCCUCUCGCAAGGGGUUUCUGCAGAGGGGGCUACUGAACAGGUGAGCCACACCCCUGUCGCACGCCCUGCAAGGGGAAUCAGGGAACUCUUCCGUUUCAUUGCUUUGACCACAUCCUAUAAAUCUUGUUCUCCUUGUCUUUCAGCUCCAAUUUGUUUAUACAUUCAGUUUUUACUUUUGACUUUACUCAUGAUUUAUUAUAGAAAGAUGUUUAACAAUUUUCAAGCAAAUGGAAU